ACUCCUACGGGAGGCAGCAGUGGGGAAUAUUGCACAAUGGGGAAACCCUGAUGCAGCCAUGCCGCGUGUGUGAAGAAGGCCUUCGGUUGUAAAGCACUUUCAGUAGGGAGGAAGGUAGUGUAGUUAACACCUGCAUUAUUUGACGUUACCUACAGAAGAAGCACCGGCUAACUCCGUGCCAGCAGCCGCGGUAAUACGGAGGGGUGCGAGCGUUAAUCGGAAUUACUGGGCGUAAAGCGCAUGCAGGCGGCCUGUUAAGUCAGAUGUGAAAGCCCGGGGGCUUAACCUCGGAAUUGCAUUUGAAACUGGCAGGCUAGAGUCUUGUAGAGGGGGUAGGAAUUUCAGGUGUAGCGGUGAAAUGCGUAGAGAUCUGAAGGAAUACCAGUGGCGAAGGCGGCCCCCUGGACAAAGACUGACGCUCAGAUGCGAAAGCGUGGGGAGCGAAACAGGAUUAGAUACCCUGG
rnacentral:rRNA from 1 species